UACCAGCACCCCCGAGUGGUCGGGACGUUUUAUUGGGCCUAAAGCAUCCGUAGCCGGUUCUACAAGUCUUCCGUUAAAUCCAACUGCUUAACAGGUGGGCUGCGGAAGAUACUAUAGAGCUAGGAGGCGGGAGAGGCAAGCGGUACUCGAUGGGUAGGGGUAAAAUCCGUUGAUCCAUUGAAGACCACCAGUGGCGAAGGCGGCUUGCCAGAACGCGCUCGACGGUGAGGGAUGAAAGCUGGGGGAGCAAACCGG
rnacentral:rRNA from 1 species